rnacentral:rRNA from 1 species
UGGGGAAUAUUGCACAAUGGAGGGAACUCUGAUGCAGCGACGCCGCGUGAACGAAGAAGGCUUUCGAGUCGUAAAGUUCUUUUAUAUGGGAAGAUAAUGACGGUACCAUAAGAAAAAGCCCCGGCUAACUACGUGCCAGCAGCCGCGGUAAUACGUAGGGGGCUAGCGUUGUCCGGAAUCACUGGGCGUAAAGGGUUCGCAGGCGGAAAUGAAAGUCAGGUGUAAAAGGCAGUAGCUUAACUACUGUAAGCAUUUGAAACUGCAUAUCUUGAGAAGAGUAGAGGUAAGUGGAAUUUUUAGUGUAGCGGUGAAAUGCGUAGAUAUUAAAAAGAAUACCGGUGGCGAAGGCGACUUACUGGGCUCAUCCUGACGCUGAGGAACGAAAGCGUGGGUAGCAAACAGG